GACGAACGCUGGCGGCGUGCUUAACACAUGCAAGCCGAACGGAAAGGCCCUGCUUUUGUGGGGUGCUCGAGUGGCGAACGGGUGAGUAACACGUGAGUAACCUGCCCUUGACUUUGGGAUAACUUCAGGAAACUGGGGCUAAUACCGGAUAGGAGCUCCUGCUGCAUGGCGGGGGUUGGAAAGUUUCGGCGGUUGGGGAUGGACUCGCGGCUUAUCAGCUUGUUGGUGGGGUAGUGGCUUACCAAGGCUUUGACGGGUAGCCGGCCUGAGAGGGUGACCGGCCACAUUGGGACUGAGAUACGGCCCAGACUCCUACGGGAGGCAGCAGUGGGGAAUAUUGCACAAUGGGCGGAAGCCUGAUGCAGCAACGCCGCGUGCGGGAUGACGGCCUUCGGGUUGUAAACCGCUUUCGCCUGUGACGAAGCGUGAGUGACGGUAAUGGGUAAAGAAGCACCGGCUAACUACGUG
rnacentral:rRNA from 1 species